rnacentral:rRNA from 1 species
GCCUACGGGGGGCAGCAGUGGGGAAUAUUGCGCAAUGGGCGAAAGCCUGACGCAGCGACGCCGCGUGAGGGAUGAAGGUCUUCGGAUCGUAAACCUCUGUCAGCAGGGAAGAACGGUCACUGUGCUAAUCAGCAGUGAAUUGACGGUACCUGCAAAGGAAGCACCGGCUAACUCCGUGCCAGCAGCCGCGGUAAUACGGAGGGUGCGAGCGUUAAUCGGAAUUACUGGGCGUAAAGCGCUCGUAGGCGGUAUGUUAAGUCAAGGGAGAAAUCCCCGCGCUCAACGUGGGCACUGCCUUUGAAACU